GAUGAACGCUGGCGGCGUGCCUAAUACAUGCAAGUCGAGCGAACAGACGAGGAGCUUGCUCCUCUGACGUUAGCGGCGGACGGGUGAGUAACACGUGGAUAACCUACCUAUAAGACUGGGAUAACUUCGGGAAACCGGAGCUAAUACCGGAUAACAUGUUGAACCGCAUGGUUCAACAGUGAAAGACGGUCUUGCUGUCGCUUAUAGAUGGAUCCGCGCCGCAUUAGCUAGUUGGUAAGGUAACGGCUUACCAAGGCAACGAUGCGUAGCCGACCUGAGAGGGUGAUCGGCCACACUGGAACUGAGACACGGUCCAGACUCCUACGGGAGGCAGCAGUAGGGAAUCUUCCGCAAUGGGCGAAAGCCUGACGGAGCAACGCCGCGUGAGUGAAGAAGGUCUUCGGAUCGUAAAACUCUGUUAUUAGGGAAGAACAAAUGUGUAAGUAACUAUGCACGUCUUGAUGGUACCUAAUCAGAAAGCCACGGCUAACUACGUG
rnacentral:rRNA from 1 species